rnacentral:misc_RNA from 1 species
AAGUCGUAACAAGGUCUCCGUAGGUGAACCUGCGGAGGGAUCAUUACCGAGUGAGGGCCCCUCGUGGCCCGACCUCCCACCCUUUGUUGUCCCAUCCUGUUGCCUCGGGGGAGGCCCGGCCGCUCGCGGCCCCGGGCGCCCCCGGUGGACCGUCAAACGCUGGCUGUAUGCGUCGGAGUACAAACGAAAUAAAUCAAAACUUUCAACAACGGAUCUCUUGGUUCUG